rnacentral:lncRNA from 1 species
UAUUCUAUCUCUAAUAAUCAUCUUCUUCUUCAUUCUUCUUCUUUCUCCUAACUCUUCUGCUGCUUCUUCUUCUUCUCUUCUGAAAAAUAGUUUAUUGCUAUCCAGUAAAAUUACAAGUUGUGAAUAAUUAGAUUCUGUAGCUAGAUUUGCAAUGGGAUAUGUAGCUUACCUCUAAGCUUCUGUGCACAAAUGGUUAUAUGUUGAAUCUUUGGACAAUCAACAUGGAUAUGAACUAUUUAAUCAUGUAACCCUGUGUGUGGCCGGCCCAAUGUGACUCCAAGUCAGUGAUAUACAGGAAAUUACACCAAACAAUCAUGCAAAUGGUCAUUUUUUAAAAUUUUGACUUUGAUUGCCUGAUAGGAAAUUUUCAAGAUCAAAAGUUAAAAAAUGUUGAAUUGCCUAAGAUGCAAGAGGGGUCAAAAGUGUAAGACCAGUCACUUACAUGUGGCUAGUUUUGUAAAUCACCAGAAGAAACAUGGAUUACAUUGUUAAAUAAUACACCACUACUGAAGAACAAGUAGACAGCUAGCUCGAUUUCAAAGGUUUUCAAACCUCUUACUAAUAAAAUGUCACUAGCUAUUGAAUCCAAAA